rnacentral:rRNA from 1 species
AGUGAACGCUGGCGGCAGGCCUAACACAUGCAAGUCGAGCGGCAGCGGGCCGCUCGGGCUGCCGGCGAGCGGCGGACGGGUGAGGAAUGCAUCGGAAUCUGCCCUGUCGUGGGGGAUAACGUAGGGAAACGUAGGCUAAUACCGCAUACGACCUACGGGUGAAAGCGGGGGAUCGUAAGACCUCGCGCGAUAGGAUGAGCCGAGGUCCGAUUAGCCAGUUGGUGGGGGAAAGGCCCACCAAGGCGACGAUCGGUAGCUGGUCUGAGAGGAUGAGCAGCCACACUAGAACUUCGACACGGCCCAGCCUCCUACGGGAGGCAGCAGUGGGGAAUUUUGGACAAUGGGCGCAAGCCUGAUCCAGCCAUGCCGCGUGGGUGAAGAAGGCCUUCGGGUUGUAAAGCCCUUUUAUCGGGGAAGAAGGCCUCUGGGCUAAUACCCCGGGCGGAUGACGGUACCGGAAGAAUAAGCACCGGCUAACUUCGUG